rnacentral:pre_miRNA from 1 species
CGGGGGAGUUUGGAUCUUGGGCUGUUCCCGGCUCCCUGUGCUCCCGGUCUGCGCUGUUGGAUUCGCGCUCCCGGCCGCGCAGCCGCCU